GAUGAAGAACGUAGCGAAAUGCGAUAAGUAAUGUGAAUUGCAGAAUUCAGCGAAUCAUCGAAUCUUUGAACGCACAUUGCGCCCGCCAGUAUUCUGGCGGGCAUGCCUGUUCGAGCGUCAUUUCAACCAUCAAGCCCUGCUUGCGUUGGGGUCCUGCGGCUGCCCGCAGGCCCUGAAAACCAGUGGCGGGCUCGCUAGUCACACCGAGCGCAGUAAUACAUCUCGCUUUGGGCGUGCGGCGGGUUCUUGCCGUUAAACACCCCCUUUUUACCAAGGUUGACCUCGGAUCAGGUAGGAAUACCCGCUGAACUUAAGCAUAUCAAUAAGCGGAGGA
rnacentral:misc_RNA from 1 species